AGUGAACGCUGGCGGCGUGCUUAACACAUGCAAGUCGAACGAGAACGGGUUAUAGCUUGCUAUAAUUGUCAGCUAAGUGGCGCACGGGUGAGUAAUGUAUAGGUAAUAUGCCUCUUACUAAGGGAUAACAAAUGGAAACGUUUGCUAAUACCUUAUACUCCUUAUUAACAUAAGUUAAUAAGGGAAAGAUUUAUUGGUAAGAGAUUAGCCUGUAUUGUAUCAGUUAGUUGGUGGGGUAAUGGCUUACCAAGACUAUGACACAUAACUGGUUUGAGAGGAUGAUCAGUCACACUGGAACUGAGACACGGUCCAGACUCCUACGGGAGGCAGCAGUAGGGAAUAUUGCACAAUGGACGAAAGUCUGAUGCAGCAACGCCGCGUGGAGGAUGACACAUUUCGGUGCGUAAACUCCUUUUAUAUGAGAAGAUAAUGACGGUAUUAUAUGAAUAAGCACCGGCUAACUCCGUGCCAGCCGCCGCUGUAAAAC
rnacentral:rRNA from 1 species